CGGCGGACGGGUGAGUAACGCGUAGGAAUCUACCUGGUAGUGGGGGGACAACAUGGUGAAAACCAUGCUAAUACCGCAUACGCCCUAAGGGGGAAAGCGGGGGAUCUUCGGACCUCGCGCUAUUGGAUGAGCCUGCGUAAGAUUAGCUAGUUGGUGGGGUAAAAGCUCACCAAGGCGACGAUCUUUAGCUGGUCUGAGAGGAUGAUCAGCCACACUGGAACUGAGACACGGUCCAG
rnacentral:rRNA from 1 species